ACACAGGCCCAGGUGGGGUUGGGCUGGGCAGGGCGAGAGCAGCACAUUUGCAUGCAGGGCCCCUCUGUCUCCUCUGGGGCUGGAGGGGGGAUAAGAGAGACCUGCAGAGUGUCUGCCUCAGCAGAGCUCUGGGUGUCUGCACCAUGGCCUGGACCCCACUCCUCAUCACCCUCCUCCUUCACUGCACAGGGUCCCUCUCCCAGCUUGCAUUGACUCAGCCGCCCUCUGCAUCUGCCUCCCUGGGAGCCUCGGUCAAGCUCACCUGCACCCUGGACAGUGGGCACAGCAGCUACACCAUUGCAUGGCACCAGCAGCAGCCAGGGAAGGCCCCUCGGUACUUGAUGUAUCUUAGCAGUGCUGGAAGCAGCAGCAAGGGGGACGGGAUCCCUGACCGCUUCUCAGGCUCCAGCUCUGGGGCUGACCGCUACUUGACCAUCUCCAACCUCCAGCCUGAGGAUGAGGCUGAUUAUUACUGUCAGACCUGGGACACUGGUAUUAACUCACAGUGACACAGGCAGAUGAGGAAGUGGG